UUCGGGAGGGGAUCAGUGGCGAACGGGUGAGUAACACGUGGGCAACCUGCCCUCAGCUCUGGGAUAACUCCAAGAAAUUGGGGCUAAUACCGGAUAUGACCGCUGACCGCAUGGUCUGGUGGUGGAAAGAUUUAUCGGCUGAGGAUGGGCCCGCGGCCUAUCAGCUUGUUGGUGGGGUCACGGCCUACCAAGGCGACGACGGGUAGCCGGCCUGAGAGGGUGACCGGCCACACUGGGACUGAGACACGGCCCAGACUCCUACGGGAGGCAGCAGUGGGGAAUAUUGCGCAAUGGGCGAAAGCCUGACGCAGCGACGCCGCGUGGGGGAUGACGGCCUUCGGGUUGUAAACCUCUUUCAGCAGGGACGAAGCGAAAGUGACGGUACCUGCAGAAGAAGCACCGGCCAACUACGUGCCAGCAGCCGCGGUAAUACGUAGGGUGCAAGCGUUGUCCGGAAUUAUUGGGCGUAAAGAGCUCGUAGGCGGUUCGUCGCGUCGGCUGUGAAAUCCCGAGGCUCAACCUCGGGUCUGCAGUCGAUACGGGCGGACUUGAGUUCGGCAGGGGAGACUGGAAUUCCUGGUGUAGCGGUGAAAUGCGCAGAUAUCAGGAGGAACACCGGUGGCGAAGGCGGGUCUCUGGGUCGAAACUGACGCUGAGGAGCGAAAGCGUGGGGAGCGAACAGGAUUAGAUACCCUGGUAGUCCACGCCGUAAACGUUGGGCGCUAGGUGUGGGGC
rnacentral:rRNA from 1 species